rnacentral:rRNA from 1 species
AUUGAACGCUGGCGGCAGGCCUAACACAUGCAAGUCGAACGAGUGGCGGACGGGUGAGUAAUGUCUGGGAAACUGCCUGAUGGAGGGGGAUAACUACUGGAAACGGUAGCUAAUCCCGCAUACCAUCGUAUGUGCCCAGCUGGGAUUAGCUAGGAGGUGGGGUACAGGCUCACCUAGGAGACGAUCCCUACCUGGUGUGAGAGGAUGACAGGCCGCACUGGAACGUGGACACGGUCCAGAGUCCUACGGGAGGCAGCAGUGGGGAAAAUUGCACAAUGGGGGGAAGACUUAUGCAGCCAUGCCGAGUGUAUGAAGGAGACGUUCGGGUUGUAAAGUACUUUUAGCGGGUGGGCGUUACCCGCAGAAGAAGCACCGGCUAACUCCGUGCCAGCAGCCGCGGUAAUUC